AGUGAACGCUGGCGGCGUGCCUAAUACAUGCAAGUAGGACGCAGUUGCGAACGGGUGAGUAACGCGUAGGUAACAACAUAAUAGAGGGGGAUAACUAUUGGAAACGAUAGCAAAUACCGCAUAAAAGUAGAUGGACCUGCGUUGUAUUAGCUAGUAGGUAGGGUAAUGGCCUUCCUAGGCAACGAAACCUAGCCGACCUGAGUGGGUCAGCGGCCACACGUGGACGGUGUCACGGCCCAGACUCCUGCGGGAGGCAGCAGUAGGGAAUCUUCGGCAAUGGGGGGAACCCUGACCGAGCAACGCCGCGUGAGUGAAGAAGGUUUUCGGAUCGUAAAGCUCUGGUGUUAAGGAUGCGGUACUUAACCAGAAUGGGACGGCUAACUACAUGCCAGCAGCCGCGGUAAUAC
rnacentral:rRNA from 1 species